rnacentral:rRNA from 1 species
AACGUAGGUGGCAAGCGUUAUCCGGAGUUACUGGGCGUAAAGAGCGUGUAGGCGGGUAUGCAAGUUUGGCGUGAAAGCUCCCGGCUAAACUGGGAGAGUGCGCUGAAGACUGCGUAUCUAGAGGCGAGUAGAGGGACGUGGAAUUCCGGGUGUAGUGGUGAAAUUCGUAGAUAUUCGCAAGAACACCAGUGGCGAAGGCGGCUCACUGGCCCGAUACUGACGCUGAGGCACGAAAGCGUGGGGAGCAAACAGG